GGAGCCCCGCCCCCGGAAAUUCCGAGUCUCCUGUGUCAUCAUCACAUGUGAUGAGCGUGGAUUCGAUGAUAGGUGAAGGAAAGCGGGAUUAGGUAGCACUAUGAAGCUUCGACUGUCAAAACCUUUGGCUUUCCUAAUAGCUGUUUUAGUCACAGUAAGCAUAGCAGCUGGAUCAGAGGUGAAGGAGAAGAGUCUUCACUAUGACUGCUGUAACCCCGACAUAGAGAUCGAUUCAACCUGUGACAACAUCCUGUCACAUGACGGCAAGGUAACCCUAAUAUCCUGUUUGGAUCAUUUUUGUUAAAAUGAAGGGAUUUCCACCAUCUACUGCUCUCCAGAGACAGUCACAGAACAAUCUAAGACAGGAAAUGAAAAUACAAUACGGCAAGACAUUCAUAAAAUACAUACUUUGCAAUUUUCUUUUGAAGUUGGACAGGUAACAUUUUACUAUUUACGUAAAAGUGUGCUAAACAGCGUUCAGCUUUGCUGCUCUAAACCCACAAACUGAAAGUCACAAUUCACAUUUCGGACCCUGACGUUAUUUUGUCUGCCGUCACCGUGAAAAGGGUCUAUUCUUGGAAGACAGCUUCAACUGCCCCCAGAACAUCAAAUUUAUCAUGUUAGCAGUUUUUGCUUCAUCACUAGAGUCUUAUUCAAUCAAAUAAAUAAAAAAAUAAA